CUCUCUGUGUGUGUCACCGUGCCACUCUGGACUCGUUUUUGUAUCUUGGAUGUGGCUGCCCGCAGGGGAACGGGAAGCAAACGAAGCCAUCUGCCUUGUGGUAUCUCGCAAAGGAUGCAAUUUCUGUACAGAUGUCAUCUUGAGCCUAAGGCAGCCAAAAAUGGGUCUCAAGAUGGGCAAGCCUUGCAGAUAACUACACAGGCUCAGGUUCUGCCUAUGGAGCUGGGGAUGCUGAACCCUCUGUCACGUUAAUACAUAAAAGGAUUCCAGUUCCAGAAUGGGAGAAUCUUGAGAUUUCAGUGGCAUAACAGACCAGACUUCUUCCUCAAUUCCCGCCAGGUGAAAAAUUGGAAAGUCCAACACCAACUAUUUUAAUUAGUCAGAAGACCUUUUCUGAAGUUUCCCAAAUGAGCUUUAGUAAUGAUUCCAGGGAAGAAAUAUAUGUGGAUUCUGACAGUCGAUUGUUAAUUCAGGAAGAUUAGGAUCCAGAUAGCCUUAGUGAUUCCAGCAAAUCUGAUGAUGGUAUCAACUUGGAAAAAGGUAGGAAAAGCCAAGAUGGCACCAAAAUGCCUGAACAGGAUUGGACAAGGGCUGAAAGUGCAAAGUCUAGAAGCUCUCAGUGUCCUAUGACAAGACUUUCAGGCUUGACAGCAUUAAGUGAUCCACUGUCAGCAUCUUUCUAUAUGGUGAUGAGGCAGAAGAGAUUAGGGUUCCUUCAAAGCUUACUUGAAACAUACCUCCUCCUCCUCAAAUAGACAAAGAAGAACUUCCUUUUAAGUAUGGAAAGACAGCUGCCAAAGGAAUGAACAAUACCCAUCUUUACUCAAAUGGAAAAAUGGUUAUGUCAUUACACCAGAGACUACCAGAACAACAAGCUGUAUCCACAAAAGAAUUUUCAUCUUUUGUUAGGCAAGAGAGUUUUACCAAAGAGAAGUCAAGCAGCAACAUUUCUCAAAACAGGUUACCGGAUAUCUCAAGUCCUCCUCUACUGAAAGAUCUUGAGGUCACACGAGCAAAUCGUAUGAACUAUAAUCCUGAGACCCAUUUCCUUCUUAAAGACAGUGAAACUGCCCUGGCACCCUUGGAAGCCAUAAUACUUUGUCAAACUCACCAGCUAGAUGCUCCAGAAAAAUCUUUCUGGGCAGUUAGAAGAUUCUUAUCUGGAGAGUCUGAUGUGGACACAGCCAGCACUGUCAGUUUGGUAAGUGGUAAAAAUCUGCUGUUGUGUUCCCUGCUCAAUGGUGCCUGAGCAUCUGCUGGUUGUUACUCUACUGAAACUGUUUUCCACUGUUAAAACAUUUU